AAUAGAUACCCUGGUAGUCCACGCCGUAAACGAUGUCGACUUGGAGGUUGUUCCCUUGAGGAGUGGCUUCCGGAGCUAACGCGUUAAGUCGACCGCCUGGGGAGUACGGCCGCAAGGUUAAAACUCAAAUGAAUUGACGGGGGCCCGCACAAGCGGUGGAGCAUGUGGUUUAAUUCGAUGCAACGCGAAGAACCUUACCUACUCUUGACAUCCAGAGAACUUAGCAGAGAUGCUUUGGUGCCUUCGGGAACUCUGAGACAGGUGCUGCAUGGCUGUCGUCAGCUCGUGUUGUGAAAUGUUGGGUUAAGUCCCGCAACGAGCGCAACCCUUAUCCUUUGUUGCCAGCGGUUAGGCCGGGAACUCAAAGGAGACUGCCAGUGAUAAACUGGAGGAAGGUGGGGAUGACGUCAAGUCAUCAUGGCCCUUACGAGUAGGGCUACACACGUGCUACAAUGGCGCAUACAAAGAGAAGCGACCUCGCGAGAGCAAGCGGACCUCAUAAAGUGCGUCGUAGUCCGGAUUGGAGU
rnacentral:rRNA from 1 species